rnacentral:rRNA from 1 species
GGGACAACGUUUCGAAAGGAACGCUAAUACCGCAUACGUCCUACGGGAGAAAGCAGGGGACCUUCGGGCCUUGCGCUAUCAGAUGAGCCUAGGUCGGAUUAGCUAGUUGGUGAGGUAAUGGCUCACCAAGGCGACGAUCCGUAACUGGUCUGAGAGGAUGAUCAGUCACACUGGAACUGAGACACGGUCCAGACUCCUACGGGAGGCAGCAGAG